CAGGUGGAGACACUUAGGUGUUAAAAAAGAAACUCCUCAAGGCCGGGGAUUUAACUUGGUGCUGCAUCUGCUGCAUCUGCCUCACAAGCGUAAGGUCCUGAGUUCGAUCCCUGGUACCAAGAAACUCCGCAUGGUUGGCAGAACUACACAGGAUGACACCUGCAAGGUAACCUGCAUGAGGUGGUUAAUCAGCGCAGGCUCCACACCUGAUUUGGGGCUCCCAGAAGUACUCAUCCCUGAGUCAGACAAGAGCGGAAGUCCCAGGGGGAGAAGAUGCAGUGGCUGUGGUUGACAUGCGUCCCGCCAGCUCUUCCUCCACAGACAACAGUUGGCCUGAGUAACUGAAAAAGACGUGACGUGAAGAGUGCAUUUUCACGGAGAACGAAGGCAGCCCACGGGCAGGAUGAAGAGGAGGUGGGGCCAGAGGCAGCCCCAAGGGCACAGUUAUGGACACUCUCGCAAGAAGGGCAGGAAGGCAGAUUUCUGUGGCAGCUGCAUAUCAAGGUGGGUCACCUUAACGUUUCUUUUCUUUUUGGUACCAGGGAUCGAACUCAGGACCUUGCACUUUCAAGGCAGGCGGUGGCACCACUGAGCUAAAUCCCGGGCCCCACCUUAACAUUUCUUAACUGCGGUACCUUCUUCCCAUGUUCUGUGUGGACAGUGC
rnacentral:lncRNA from 1 species